UACGUAGGGCGCAAGCGUUAUCCGGAAUUAUUGGGCGUAAAGAGCUCGUAGGCGGUUUGUCGCGUCUGCCCGUGAAAAGUCCGGGGCUCAACUCCGGAUCUGCGGUGGGUACGGGCAGACUAGAGUGAUGUAGGGGAGACUGGAAUUCCUGGUGUAGCGGUGAAAUGCGCAGAUAUCAGGAGGAACACCGGUGGCGAAGGCGGGUCUCUGGGCCGUAACUGACGCUGAGGAGCGAAAGCGUGGGGAGCGAACAGG
rnacentral:rRNA from 1 species